rnacentral:rRNA from 1 species
AUUGAACGCUGGCGGCAUGCCUUACACAUGCAAGUCGAACGGCAGCACGGGAGCAAUCCUGGUGGCGAGUGGCGAACGGGUGAGUAAAGCAUCGGAACGUGCCCAGUCGUGGGGGAUAACGUAGCGAAAGCUACGCUAAUACCGCAUACGAUCUGUGGAUGAAAGCGGGGGACCGUAAGGCCUCGCGCGAUUGGAGCGGCCGAUGUCAGAUUAGGUAGUUGGUGGGGUAAAGGCUCACCAAGCCGACGAUCUGUAGCUGGUCUGAGAGGACGACCAGCCACACUAGGACUGAAAAACGGCCCAGACGCCUACGGGAGGCAGGAGUGGGGAAUUUUGGACAAUGGGCGCAAGCCUGAUCCAGCAAUGCCGCGUGCAGGAUGAAGGCCUUCGGGUUGUAAACUGCUUUUGUACGGGGCGAAAAGGCUUCCACUAAUACUGGGGGCUCAUGACGGUACCGUAAGAAUAAGCACCGGCUAACUACGUGCCAGCCGCCGCCGUAACAC